UUCCGGUUGAUCCUGCCGGAGGCUACCGCUAUUGGAGUUCGAUUAAGCCAUGCGAGUCGCGAGUCUUAGGGACUCGGCGUACCGCUCAGUAACACGUGGGUAACCUGCCCUAUGCUGGGGAAUAACCUCGGGAAACUGAGAAUAAUGCCCCAUAGUUCACCACGCCUGGAACGGUGGGUGGAUGAAAGCUCCGGCGGCAUAGGAUGGGCCUGCGGCGUAUCAGGUCGUAGGGGGUGUAAUGUACCCUCUAGCCAUCGACGCGUACGGGUGUUGGGAGACAUUGCCCGGAGAUGGAUUCUGAGACACGAAUCCAGACCCUACGGGGUGCAGCAGGCGCGAAAACUUGGCAAUGCGAGAAAUCGUGACCAGGGAACUCCAAGUGCAUCGGGUAAGACCGAUGCUUUUCUUGACUCUUCAAAGGUCUUGGAAUAAGGGGUGGGUAAGGACGGUGCCAGCCGCCGCGGUAAUACCGGCACCUCAAGUGGUCGUCGCUUUUAUUGGGCCUAAAACGUCCGUCGCCUGUUUGGUACAUUCGUGGGUAAAUCAACCAGCUUAACUGGUUGAAUUCUGCGAGGACGGCCAGACUAGGGACCGGGAGAGGUGUGGGGUACUCUCAGGGUAGGGGUAAAAUCCAGUCAUCCUGAGGGGACCACCUGUUGCGAAGGCGCCACACUAGAGCGGAUCCGACGGUCAGGGACGAAGCCUAGGGGCACGAACCGGAUUAGAUACCCGGGUAGUCCUAGGUGUAAACGCUGUGGACUUGGUGUUGGGGAUUCUACGAGUAUUCCCAGUGCCGUAGUGAAGAUGUUAAGUCCACUGCCUGGGGAGUACGGUCGCAAGGC
rnacentral:rRNA from 1 species